ACCUUCCACGGUCUCUGCGACGCAGCUAACGCAUUAAGUGCCCCGCCUGGGGAGUACGAUCGCAAGAUUAAAACUCAAAGGAAUUGACGGGGCCCCGCACAAGCAGCGGAGCAUGCGGCUUAAUUCGACGCAACGCGAAGAACCUUACCAAGGCUUGACAUAUACAGGAAUAUGGCAGAGAUGUCAUAGCCGCAAGGUCUGUAUACAGGUGGUGCAUGGUUGUCGUCAGCUCGUGUCGUGAGAUGUUGGGUUAAGUCCCGCAACGAGCGCAACCCUCGUUCUGUGUUGCCAGCAUUUAGUUGGGGACUCACAGGAGACUGCCGGGGUUAACUCGGAGGAAGGUGGGGAUGACGUCAAAUCAUCAUGCCCCUUAUGUCUUGGGCUGCACGCAUGCUACAAUGGCUGGUACAAACGGCUGCAAUACCGCAAGGUGGAGCGAAUCCGAUAAAGCCAGUCUCAGUUCGGAUUGGGGUCUGCAACUCGACCCCAUGAAGUCGGAGUUGCUAGUAAUCGUAGAUCAGCAACGCUACGGUGAAUACGUUCCCGGGGCUUGUACACACCGCCCGUCACGUCACGAAAGUCGGUA
rnacentral:rRNA from 1 species